rnacentral:rRNA from 1 species
GAAUGUGCCCAAUCUCGUCAGACCUUGGAAGCUAAGC